CGAACGGACACGGUACGCUAGUUUCUAUAUAAGAGCCAAUAGAGAUUGCCUUUGCGCGCUUUUGCGCCAUGGGAAAAAACCCUGUCCGUCUCUGACACGGGGCCUCUGGUUUCGGAUCGGAUUAGGUUUCUCGAACAAACCCCAAUCGAUUGUGGCGAGUUGCGACAUGGCGACGAUCGCGUUCCGACUCCUCUCUCGCCGGACUCUCACCAGCGCCAUAGGCAAGGCCGCCGAGCACCUUCCUCAGGGUCGUUGGUCGUGGCGGUCCUAUCUGAUUGGCUUCGACGACACGGCGAUGGCCGAGGCCAAAAGGCGAUUAGGCCACGCGUCGUACAUGAAGCUGCUGGAGAAAGAGCAGGCAGCUGUCGACCGGACCCUCGGCCGCUUGGUUUUUGGGUCGGCCGUGGUUUCCUUCGGAUUGCUUCUUGCCAAGAUUUAUCCUCCUCCCCCGGCAAGCGGACGUACUACCACCCCUACUUCAGACGGGGUGUAGGGAAGAGAUCCCGGUUUCAUUUGGAUAUAUGAACGAGUAACAUGCUUUUCGGAUGCAAAUAAGAUGGGUGUAAUUCCUUUUUGAUGUAGCUCACCAUUCAUGCCGAAUGAUAAGAUGGGUGUAAUUCCUUUUUGAUGUACCUCAUCAUUCAGCCAAAUGAUAAGAUGGGUGUAAUUCUGAUAAUGUAUUCAACUGUCCAUAUAUACUACUAUCUCUG
rnacentral:rRNA from 1 species